rnacentral:misc_RNA from 1 species
CAACCCUCAAGCUCUGCUUGGUAUUGGGUGCCACCGGUCUAGGUGCACCUCAAAAUCAGUGGCGGUGCCAUCUGGCUUCAAGCGUAGUAAUUCUUCUCGCUCUGGGGACCCGGGUGUGUGCUUGCCAGCAACCCCCAAUUUAUCAAA